rnacentral:rRNA from 1 species
UACGGAGGGGGCUAGCGUUGUUCGGAAUUACUGGGCGUAAAGCGCACGUAGGCGGCUUUGCAAGUUAGAGGUGAAAGCCCAGGGCUUAACCCUGGAAUUGCCUUUAAAACUGCAUCGCUAGAAUUGUGGAGAGGUAAGUGGAAUUCCGAGUGUAGAGGUGAAAUUCGUAGAUAUUCGGAAGAACACCAGUGGCGAAGGCGUCUUACUGGACACAUAUUGACGCUGAGGUGCGAAAGCGUGGGGAGCAAACAGG